rnacentral:rRNA from 1 species
UAGAAGAUGGCGACCGGCGCACGGGUGAGUAACACGUAUCCAACCUGCCGAUAACUCGGGGAUAGCCUUUCGAAAGAAAGAUUAAUACCCGAUGGCAUAAUAGAACCGCAUGGUUUGAUUAUUAAAGAAUUUCGGUUAUCGAUGGGGAUGCGUUCCAUUAGGCAGUUGGUGGGGUAACGGCCCACCAAACCUUCGAUGGAUAGGGGUUCUGAGAGGAAGGUCCCCCACAUUGGAACUGAGACACGGUCCAA